CCUACGGGGGGCAGCAGUGGGGAAUAUUGCACAAUGGGGGAAACCCUGAUGCAGCGACGCCGCGUGAGUGAAGAAGUAUUUCGGUACGUAAAGCUCUAUCAGCAGGGAAGAAAAUGACGGUACCUGACUAAGAAGCCCCGGCUAACUACGUGCCAGCAGCCGCGGUAAUACGUAGGGGGCAAGCGUUAUCCGGAUUUACUGGGUGUAAAGGGAGCGUAGACGGCAGCGCAAGUCUGGAGUGAAAUCCCAUGGCUUAACCAUGGAACUGCUUUGGAAACUGUGCAGCGAGAGUGCAGGAGAGGUAAGCGGAAUUCCUAGUGUAGCGGUGAAAUGCGUAGAUAUUAGGAGGAACACCAGUGGCGAAGGCGGCUUACUGGACUGUAACUGACGUUGAGGCUCGAAAGCGUGGGGAGCAAACAGGAUUAGAUACCCCAGUAGUC
rnacentral:rRNA from 1 species